UGAUUGUGAGUUGGAACAUCAUAUUCCUAAAAAAAUAGUUUAUCCAGAAUGAUGGUAGUGGGAGGUUAGUUGAGCUCGAAGAGAAGAUCUCUGAAGAGCUAAGAGCUAUAGAUCCUUAGGAACCCGUUAUCCAUGAGCCAGUAGUUGACGUUCCUCAACCACCUCGUAGAUCUAGUAGGGUCUCCCGACCUUCUGAAAGGUAUAUGGGUAUGCUUAUGGAGGAAGUAAAGAAAAUAUUUCUUAUGGG
rnacentral:lncRNA from 1 species